UUUGACAUGUAUCUGCAUAUCUUUGGAAACAUAGAUAGCCUUCGAGGGUGAUACACAGGUACUGCAUGGCCGUCGUCAGCUCGUGUCGUGAGAUGUAGGGUUAAGUCCCGAAACGAGCGCAACCCCUAUCCCAUGUUACAAGUGUCUUGGGAAACUGCCUCGGUAAAACGAGGAGGAAGGUGGGGAUGACGUCUGGUCCGCAUAGUCCUUAUGUCCUGGGCUACACACGCGCUACAAUGGUCGGUACAAUGGGCAGCCAAGCCGUAAGGCGGAGCUAAUCCUGUAAAACCGAUCUCAGUUCGGAUUGUGGGCUGAAACUCGCCCACAUGAAGUUGGAUUCGCUAGUAAUCGUGGAUCAGCCAUGCCACGGUGAAUACGUUCCCGGGUCUU
rnacentral:rRNA from 1 species